CACGUUGCAUCUGGGCCACAGUCUGUUGCGUGCAGCGCAUUCCUCACACGUACUCGUCGACGGACACGAAUAGCAGCAGCUGUUUUUUGUUCGGUGCACGCGCACGCCUAAAAGCACGCACACGUUGCAUAGAGACGGCGUACCUCAACGAGUCUUUCCUCUACAGCCGUUCGCGCGUUUGAGAAGAAGGGGGGCGUGUAUGGCACGCCCUGCGACUCAGGCAUACGUACGCGCAUACACCAACAGAGUCUUACGCAGCAGCCUGCGCGCCCUCCCACACACACACACACACACCACGCGCCCCUGGCGCACUUUGAAAGACGAAGGGUGGCGGAGAAAGGUCCUCUUGGUCGGCGACCGUUUCGGCAACGAUGAUGCGCUCCGUCUCACCAGCGACCGGGGUGGGCUCCACCAGCGUCAGCCAGCAUGUAGAGAGCAAGCCGACACUCAUGCAGCGUCGUCAGCAGCAGGGGCAGCCCUUCUCGAGUGGCGAUAGGGUGCAUCGGCCUGCGUCCGCGAUGCCGCCAGGAAAGAUGGCUGUCAGCCGCCACAAACUACGCCCUGCGUCCGUGGCGUCGUUUAGGAAAAAUACUUCAGGCGAGAUGGCCUCCAUCUGCCAGCAGCUUCACGAUGCGCUGCAGCAGCAGUCGCGCCUAGAGCUGCAGCGCCAGCAGCAGCUUGUCCAGUAUAGGCGCCAGCUGCGCACGCUCUGCGAUGACAACGCCACCCUGCGCAACAUUAUUCAAGCCGGGGAGAGACGAAAGCGCGAUGCGGAGGUGGCGGCCGCGGCGGGGCUCGUCAUGCCGACUGGGGCCCGGGCACACACGAAUGGUGCGCCGAAUGAGCCGGCGACCGUCACCGAAGCCGAGAUGGAGGCGCUGUCGCAGCGCAUCAACCUCGCACGCCGGCGGCGCAACAAGGUGCUGCAUGAAAUCAAGGUUGACGAGGCCGCCCUCGACGCCGAGGCGAAAUUACAAGAGUCUCUAGCGGAGCAGGCGCAGAUCGCGCUAGACCCGGCCAAGCUGCUGAUGGGCGCCAACCGACCGGUGUAUCUGCGCAUAAUGCGGCUUGAGCAACUCAUCAACAAGGUGCUCUCCAAGCAGCGCGUCGCUGGCGUCGUCUUGGCCAACUACCGGCACCAUCUGGGCAUUCUCUCCACCGAGGCGGCGCAGUACGAUGCGCAGCAAACGCUGCUGGAGAAGGAGUAUGCAGACCGCCACCGCGAUCACCUAAAGCUUCUCCAACUUUACGACACAGCGCGUGCGGCGUACGCGACAGCCGUCGAGGUCCUGCAGGUCGUUCAGAGGAACGCCUCGCGUAUGCGCACAGCAAAGGAGAAGGCGCUGCAACAGAAGCGGAGGGAGGUGGACAAGGACCUUGUGGCGACGCAGCAGCAAGAGCGCCGCGCGGUGGACUGGCAACAGCAGCUCGAGGAGGAAACCCAGAUGCUCGAGUCCGCAGAGAACACGAAAGCGCAGCUGGAGCGGCAACGCAUGAACUCCCACGCGGCCUUGACGGUGCUGCAGGUCACCAGUGCGUCGAGGGAGGACGGCACCGGCGAACCGUCCACCGGCACGGAUGAGCGUGUCGCUGCGUACGAAGUGGCCUUCCGUGACAUGAUGCGAGUGGCGAAGGUCAACACCCUUGAUGCCCUCGUCGAAGCCUAUCAGGCAGAGAUCGAGCAGCAGUAUCGUCUGCAGAACAAUCUAACCUACGUGCGAGAGGCGCAAGGGGCGCUGGAGCAAGAACUGCAGCACCUGCGCGAGCGGGUGAAGCAGACAAAGUACUGUGUUGGUGUCGCCACGCGACUCGCGACGGAGAGCACCGUGUUCGACGCGGCGUCAGCCAUCGUCGGCACGGCGCCGUCACCUUUGAUGGAGCGCGAGCUGCAGACGUUUGUGCGAGAGGAGAAGGAGUCCUUGGCCAUCCACGUCGGUGCCAACGAAGCGAACCAGGCCCUCGUCAUGGAGGUGGCGGAGCGCGUGAACCACUUGGCGGAGCUGGUGGCCGACUACCGCGCUGAUGUGCGUGUGCCGUGGAUCCAGUGCACCGCAGCGCUGGCGAAGCGCUCCUCGACGUUGCCGCUGCACGUUGCUGUGUUGGCGCAGAAGCUUCUAGCGUUGGCAGCAGACGCAGCCGGGGAGGCCGACCUUGGUCCAUCCUCUACCCUCUCCUCCCCCGUCAAGGACGCGGGGCACGGUGAGGGUGCUGUGCAUGACGACAAGGACAGCACCUCAGCCGCUGCAGUGGUGUCCUCGGUGCAGAUUGUGAUACCCGCCAACAACCGACGUGUCCCCCUGGCAUACGAAGGCGCAGGUGGCGGUGCGGGUGGGCCAGGACCCAGCGGCCGCCGCGGGAGAACGGCAGCCGAUGUUGCCGGUAUCUCCUCCUCCGCUGCCCGUGCGCUGCUGCACCCUCACGGAGCCGGGCCUGGCGGCCGUGAGGGCGGUGCGUUGGGGGCCUCCAUGAAUCAGCGGCGUAGGCGUUCGUCUGCUGCGGCCGGUGCCGGCUUCAUCGAGAGUACGGAGGACGAGGACGAUGUGCGCUUGGCCGUGGUGGCGGCGCUGCCCCCACCCGGCGGCCGCGUGCUCGACUUUGACGGUGCAUCAACGGACACGUCGGAGCUUCAUAGCGGGAUUCUCAACGGCAGCGACGCCGGCGGUGGUGCUCGUAGCGGCGGUGAUGGGGCUGGCGGCGACAGCGGGAGCUCACAUCGCGCAGCGGCCGUGACACGCGGUCGCCGUCAUUUCUCAAAGUUGCCGCGCCACAUGGCUACGGCGGGGGCAGCAGGUGCGCACCAAGCCAACGUGCAGUCGCUUGCGAGGGCAGUGGAAGACGAUCAAGAGGACCCGCUGCGGCGUGAGGAGGUGAAGCGCAUGUCGGAGCUGAUCCGUACUCGCCAGAAGCUCGAGGCAGAGAAAGAUUUGCGGCGACUUUAACCGAGGAAAAGCAGGGGGACGGGUGUGUAUGUGUGUGUGUGUGUGUGCGUAUGUGGUUGCGGAGAGCGGGAAGAGAGGACAUUGAACGUUCAGCACCUCCGCCCUUCCCAGCGCCGCUUCUCCUUCCGUUAUCGCCUCUGUCAUUGCCACCGACAUCACAAGCGAGGCAUGUAGUCGCGCACCGCAUCCUUCUCUCGCCCACCUUCUCCCAACGCACCACGACCACGACUGUGAAGGUGAGUUGAGGGGGCGGAAGGCGGGAGAGUCUUGACAGAGGACACGCAGAUGGCGCUGGCGUUGUUGUGAGCGACUCUGCGCGCGUGUGGCUCUCUCUCACUGUCGUGCGUAGACCACGUCAACGAACAUGUGUGCACCUGCGCACGGUGCAGAAUUUCAUAGAACUGCAGUGUCCGGGCUGCGAGAAGGUUCGUGCUCGUGUUUUGCUCGUAUGAUCUUUAUGCUUUGGACUAGUGCCCGUGAACUGACCGGCAUGGGCAGGCGCAGUGUGCGGGAGUCGGUGGGGGUGGGUGGACGCGCGAUGCGUUCGUCUCACUGCCUCUCCCGUCUGAUUCGCUGCCGUUGCCAAUCGAUGUUGAAGCCUCUCCUCGGCCCCACGUGACAGAUCCGGCGCAGGUGCAGUCGUUGUUAGCACAGGUGUGUAUAUUCCUGUACAUGUGUGAGUGUGUGGCCCCCCCCUCCGCCCUACACUGCAGCCCUGCUCUCUAGCCCUUCCAUCCAUAUCGCACACCUUAUGUGUCGUCACUAGGCGUGCGUGCGAGCAUGGGUUGGUGGUGUUCUCCAUACCUCAUGCAGUCGCUGGACGCUCCAGUGCAAAGUGGAGGGGCGUGGGGGCGGGCGGUGGUGGACAAUCGCGUGAUGGGCGUGAAGCAGCCGCGAUACACCCUCACGCCUCUUCCUUCCCUCGUUUUAUAUAGGUUCCUUCUGCCAUCAUGUAUGCCUGUGUGAUAGAGCGCCACGAUCUCGCCAACGUGUGCACCUGCAAGGAAACGAAAUGUGGCACCUCUGCGUGCGCGUGGGCUGCCGCAACACCGGGAGACGGCCACACGCUCGCCUUGCCGCCCCUACACCGUGGGGACCCCCUGCGCCCAUCCGGCUGCCACCUCCCCCCCCCUCCUCCCCCUACACACACCAACACCACCACCCCCAUCCCUAUCCUCUCGCUACUGCCCAG
rnacentral:misc_RNA from 1 species